rnacentral:rRNA from 1 species
CUACGGGGGGCAGCAGUGGGGAAUAUUGCACAAUGGGCGCAAGCCUGAUGCAGCCAUGCCGCGUGUAUGAAGAAGGCCUUCGGGUUGUAAAGUACUUUCAGCGGGGAGGAAGGGAGUAAAGUUAAUACCUUUGCUCAUUGACGUUACCCGCAGAAGAAGCACCGGCUAACUCCGUGCCAGCAGCCGCGGUAAUACGGAGAGUGCAAGCGUUAAUCGGAAUUACUGGGCGUAAAGCGCACGCAGGCGGUUUGUUAAGUCAGAUGUGAAAUCCCCGGGCUCAACCUGGGAACUGCAUCUGAUACUGGCAAGCUUGAGUGUCGUAGAGGGGGGUAGAAUUCCAGGUGUAGCGGUGAAAUGCGUAGAGAUCUGGAGGAAUACCGGUGGCGAAGGCGGCCCCCUGGACGAAGACUGACGCUCAGGUGCGAAAGCGUGGGGAGCAAACAGGAUUAGAUACCCCCGUAGUC